UUCAUGCUUCUCAGUCUCCAGAUAGGUGUUUAUUAAUUCUUAUCUAAGGAGUACAAGCCACUGGCAUGGCCUAGACAUAGCACAGAGCAGAGAACGCAGCAAGAAGACAACUUAUCAAGAUUUCACAGCCCUUUUAAAGCCAAAUCAGGCCAACCAGC